rnacentral:rRNA from 1 species
CGUAUCCAACCUUCCCUAUAGUAGAGGAUAGCCCGGCGAAAGUCGGAUUAAUACUCUAUGUUUUCCAAUGCAGACAUCUAAAAAUGGAACAAAGGUUUACCGCUAUAGGAUGGGGGAUGCGUCUGAUUAGGUUGUUGGCGGGGUAACGGCCCACCAAGCCUACGAUCAGUAGGGGUUCUGAGAGGAAGGUCCCCCACAUUGGAACUGAGACACGGUCCAAACUCCUACGGGAGGCAGCAGUGAGGAAUAUUGGUCAAUGGGCGAGAGCCUGAACCAGCCAAGUAGCGUGCCAGGAUGACGGCCCUAUGGGUUGUAAACUGCUUUUUAUACAGGGAUAAAGUGCGCCACGUGUGGCGUUUUGUAGGUACUGUAUGAAUAAGGACCGGCUAAUUCCGUGCCAGCAGCCGC